rnacentral:rRNA from 1 species
AUUGAACGCUGGCGGCAUGCCUUACACAUGCAAGUCGAACGGCAGCGGACCUUCGGGUGCCGGCGAGUGGCGAACGGGUGAGUAAAGUAUCGGAACGUACCUUUCAGUGGGGGAUAACGUAGCGAAAGUUACGCUAAUACCGCAUAUUCUGUGAGCAGGAAAGCAGGGGAUCGCAAGACCUUGCGCUGAUUGAGCGGCCGAUAUCAGAUUAGCUAGUUUGUGAGGUAAAGGCUCACCAAGGCGACGAUCUGUAGCGGGUCUGAGAGGAUGAUCCGCCACACUGGAACUGAGACACGGUCCAGACUCCUACGGGAGGCAGCAGUGGGGAAUUUUGGACAAUGGGGGCAACCCUGAUCCAGCCAUGCCGCGUGAGUGAAGAAGGCCUUCGGGUUGUAAAGCUCUUUCGUCCGGGAAGAAAUCGCAUCAGCUAAUACCUGGUGUGGAUGACGGUACCGGAAUAAGAAGCACCGGCUAACUACGUGCCAGCCGCCGCCGUAAAAC